CUCCCAUCAGAUCACCUUCAACACCAACAUGUUCUCUGUAGUUCUGUUGCUGCUGCUGGCUGCUGCAUCCUGUGUGAAGUGUGAACAGCUGACACAGCCAGCCUCUGUGACUGUGCAGCCAGGUCAACGUCUGACCAUCAGCUGUCAGGUCUCUUAUUCUCUGGGCAGCUACACAGCUUGGAUCAGACAGUCUGCUGGGAAAGGACUGGAGUGGAUUGGGAUGAAAGAUAGUUAUGGAAAUGUGCACUUCAAAGGUUCACUGAAGAACAAGUUCAGUAUUGAUUUAGACACUUCCAGUAAAACAGUGACUCUGAAUGGACAGAAUAUGCAGCCUGAAGACUCUGCAGUGUAUUACUGUGCCAGAGUCACAGUGACACAAACCAGCAGCAGAGCUGAACAAAAACCCCAAAGAGCCUGAACACCUGCUGCUUGCAAUCACCAGAGGAGACAGUCCAAGACCAAUUUUUGUGCAGCUUUUAAUUUCACACUGAUGUAUGGCUCUAUGUAUAUGAUUAUUUUUAUUUGUUUUUGUUUACUUGGUGUGUUGUUUUUUAAAAGGCUAUAUAACUACACAUAAUAUGGAGUGGUAUUUGGAACCACAAUAAUAAAAAACAAUAAAAAGGUAAAUUUCAUCAUCUGGUGGAAAUAUCUGUUUGACUAAAGCAAGAUUGAAAAUUAUUUUUAUAUCAGAUAAGUAAUCAUACAAUCAGGAAAAAAGUUUAAUGAUUGUUUUAAGAUCACUAUCAAUAAGUUUAUCAGUUUGAUCAACUGAUAAACACCUCUGUACACCUAAUUU